AUUGAACGCUGGCGGCAGGCCUAACACAUGCAAGUCGAAUGGUAACAGGAAACAGCUUGCUGUUUCGCUGACGAGUGGCGGACGGGUGAGUAAUGUCUGGGAAACUGCCUGAUGGAGGGGGAUAACUACUGGAAACGGUAGCUAAUACCGCAUAACGUCGCAAGACCAAAGAGGGGGACCUUCGGGCCCCUGGCCAUCAGAUGUGCCCAGAUGGGAUUAGCUAGUAGGUGGGGUAACGGCUCACCUAGGCGACGAUCCCUAGCUGGUCUGAGAGGAUGACCAGCCACACUGGAACUGAGACACGGUCCAGACUCCUACGGGAGGCAGCAGUGGGGAAUAUUGCACAAUGGGCGCAAGCCUGAUGCAGCCAUGCCGCGUGUAUGAAGAAGGCCUUCGGGUUGUAAAGUACUUUCAGCGGGGAGGAAGGGAGUAAAGUUAAUACCUUUGCUCAUUGACGUUACCCGCAGAAGAAGCACCGGCUAACUCCGUG
rnacentral:rRNA from 1 species